ensembl:lncRNA
ACUCAAGUUUCAGCCCUCUACACUCUAUGACCCAGGCUGUGCUCAUCACAGUGCCUGGCACAUAGAAAGCACUAUGUAAAUGUUAGCUCUCAUUAUUGACCUUCUCGCUCCUAUCUGGUUGGACGAGUGGAGUUUUUAAAAAGUUUAUUGAUAAUGUACAUUCUUACAUCACCUGGAUUCUUCUCUCUCAUAGACAACAUUCCAUACGACACAGUUAUUUUAAUAUAAAGAAAAAAAAUUAAAGCAAAAUUGACACAUGGAAAAAAUUUGAUAUCAUGCAGUGUUCCACAAGUGUGGAUCCCUUGCCUCUACAGAGGAGUAGGGCUGGGUGUGAAUUUUCUUUGAGCCGAGCUUAUUCUGGAUAUGUUACAAUUUCACAUGUCCCUAACAUUCAUUUUUGGUUGUUUGGUAGUACAGUUUCUUUCAAUUGACAUUCUUGUCAUGGUUUCGAAGGAGGGCAGGACAGCAGUUUGGUGUAGAAAUAUCCUCAACUCGACAGGAAAACAAGGAAAUUGGAAAAGAAUGAAGCAUUGGGGUGGAGGUGUGGGUCAUAUCCAGAACACACUAAGCUCGGAGAUUAUGAAGGGCUCAAAAGGAAAGAAAGGGAUGAGAAUAGCAGACUGGAUUGAAAAUUUUCCAACAAUGCAUUCUUUUCAAGAAACCUACCUACACAGUGAGUGAGCAUAAGGGAUUGAAGCAAACUUUUGGCUUCAACUGAACUUAAAAAAGACAAAACAGGUGAAAUAAUAAUACAUGGACAAUAGCAAAAAGUAACAAGAGAAAAACAGGGAGUUUAUAUGCUUAAUAUGUAUCAUAGUGUAGUGUGUCCGUACACACUACUGUGGGGAAAGAAUAUAAAACUGAGAGGGUUUUUUUGGGGGGGGAUAUAGAUGAGCUUUUAGAUAAUUUUAUUGAGAAAAAGAUAAAAAUAGCAAAACUUUAAAACCUUAAUACACAAAAAUCGGGGUUAGAUGCAAAAAAAGGCUUAGAAAAAUGCAGUUCCCUUUUUGGCUAAAGGAAAAAAAAGAUACUAGAAAAUAGGAAUAAAUGGACUUUUAUGGAUGAUGGGAGCAAACUUUUAUCGGUGAUAUGUGAGGUACUUGGAGAACCCUUGGGAGGUAUAAAGUACCCAUGAAGAUACAGGAAUUAUAUGAAUACAACUGAAAAAUUCUAGAAACAGACAUAGUUGAAAGAUAACUAAUUGCUCAUGGGUAGACCCAGUCAGUAUAUAAUGAUGACCCCUAAAUAAAUUUUAGUCCCACACUGCCCGAACUAUCAGUUGCCAGGCAACCGAUGAGCUUUUAGAUGAUUGGCAAAGAGUAGGUGGUGUUUUUGUAGUAGAAGAAAGUCAUGAAAUUCAUUUGGAGGAAUGAAACAUCAAGAAUUUCAAGAGAACGAAAAAAGCGAAAGGAUUAAUUGUGUAAACAAUUUAGUUUAAGGGAAUAAGUUUGUCAAUCGGUAGAGCAGAUGAGAGGUACACAAUAUACAGAAGUGAACAAACUUAGUAGUUCACUGUUCGUUAAAUCCAAAGACCCCAGCUACUGGUAUAAAGACAAAAACAGGGAAAUGGACAGCAAUCUGGCAGAGAUGAGGUUUAGAGCAACACCUGACACCAUACACUAAGGUAAGCUCCUAAUGGAUAUUAUACCAAGUACAUAUAAGAAAUAAGUCAAACAAAUUGUAGGAACAAGGAAGAAAUUAUCUUUGAGAUUUAUGGGCAUGGCAUUGUUAGCGCAGUUGUGAGUGUGCCAACCAUCCAGAGCACAAUUUGGAAAGGACUAAAAUUGUACAUACCCUUUGAUCCAGCUAUACCACUGUCAGGUCUGUAUCUCAAAUCAUAAAAGAGGGAAGAGGAUCCAUAUGUGAAAAAUGUUUGCAAACAGCCCUUUUUGUGGUGGCCAGUAAUUGGAAAAUGAGAUGUCUAUUGAUUAGGAAAUGGCUGAUUAAGUUAUGGUAUAUGAAAGUCAUGCAAUAUUAUUCUAUAAAAAUUGAUGAACAGGCUGAUUUUAGAAAGGCCUGAAAAGAUUUACAUGAAUUGAUGCUGAGUAAAACAAG